GUAGGGAAUAUUGGACAAUGGGGGCAACCCUGAUCCAGCGACGCCGCGUGAGUGAUGAAGGCCUUCGGGUCGUAAAGCUCUGUUGCAGGGGAAGAACACAAUGACGGUACCCUGCUAGAAAGGAUCGGCUAACUUCGUGCCAGCAGCCGCGGUAAGACGAGGGAUCCUAGCGUUGUUCGGAAUUAUUGGGCGUAAAGCGGGUGCAGGUGGCUUGGUAAGUCAGAUGUGAAAGCCUGUGGCUUAACCCCAGAAGUGCAUUUGAUGCUGCUGAGCUUGAGUGCUGGAGAGGCUAUUAGAAUUCCUGGUGUAGUGGUGAAAUACGUAGAUAUCAGGAGGAAUACCGGAGGCGAAGGCGGAUAGCUGGCCAGACACUGACACUCAGACCCGAAAGCGUGGGGAUCAAACAGGAUUAGAUACCCCAGUAGUCC
rnacentral:rRNA from 1 species